GGCCUCAUAACUCAGUUGGCUAAAGUGUUGGCUGUACUAAAGCCUUGCCCUUGCUGUUGUGAGUUCGAAUCCCACCGAGGCCG
rfam:Schistocephalus solidus strain NST_G2 genome assembly, scaffold: SSLN_scaffold0006960